UACGUAGGGUGCAAGCGUUAAUCGGAAUUACUGGGCGUAAAGCGUGCGCAGGCGGUUUUGUAAGUCUGACGUGAAAUCCCCGGGCUCAACCUGGGAAUUGCGUUGGAGACUGCAAGGCUAGAAUCUGGCAGAGGGGGGUAGAAUUCCACGUGUAGCAGUGAAAUGCGUAGAGAUGUGGAGGAACACCGAUGGCGAAGGCAGCCCCCUGAGUCAAGAUUGACGCUCAUGCACGAAAGCGUGGGGAGCAAACAGG
rnacentral:rRNA from 1 species